UCGUCUUUUUCCACGCGUGUUUUCUUCGCAUCGCGUGUUUUCGGCACUGACCGGUUUGAUACAACUGUAUGCACAUUACUCGCAGCAGAGGACGCCAUCUUGAAGUUGACAAAUUCAAUUUUGAAACUGAAAAUCACAUUUUGAGCAUAAAGAGUUGUUGUUUUAUUCUUCGAUCUAGUUCAAGGCUUCUAGAAAGUGGGAAUACUUAUAGUGUUGUCGUGAAAAGUCGUGGACAAGUAACUUUAUUCGUGAAAUACUGAAAUUGUUGCGUGUAAUACAUUUUGUAUGAACGUGGAAGUUUUAUAAUUUACUAAUUUAGCAUUUAGAAAGUUAUUCAACGGCGUUGUGUAGUGUUUAUCUCGGGAUGAAGUCGUGUAUUUUAAUGUUGUGUUUUCUUGUGUGUUUUCGUAGUUCGUGGUCAAAGGACGGUAUGUCAAAGCAUGUUUUUUUACUACUAGCGGUAACUAGCCUAGGUUUCACAAGU